ensembl:snRNA U6 U6 spliceosomal RNA
GUGCUCGCUUUGGCAGCACAUAUAGUAAAAUUGGAAAGAUACAGAGAAGAUUAGCAUGGUCCCUGCACAAGGAUGAAACACAAGGUUGUGAAGCAUUCCAUAUUUUU